CUCAUAUUUAAGCAAGGAAGCAGGAAGUGGUUCCUUUCCCUUUUGCUCUUCUUCCUGCUCUCUGCUGUGAGCCAUCAUGUGAUCCUGGGGAUGAAGAAGCCAGCGGAAGGUGUCUGAUAAGUUAUAGUUGGUGCAAAAUGGAAGCCAGAGCCAGAGAGGAAUGGAAAAAGGAAAGGAACAAGCCAGCUGAAGGUGCACGCACCUGCAAUCCCCUGCAGUGCCUGCUCUGAACCAAAAUGCUAAUAUAACUCUCCUAAGGGUAUCUGUCCCGCGCGAUCGUCUCGCCAGCAAGAAUGACACAGGACACUCAGAUCCUUCUGCAGUAAAGCUUUAAUGCAUCUUGAGAGACAGAUGAUCAGCUUCCGAUUAGGGAGACCCCGAGCCAAGAAUCCCGUCCCCUUAUAAAGGCUCAUAAGCUCCGAGCAGUGCGUGUACAGCUGGGAUAGGUGGAGAACUCAUCACCCUAUAUGACGCCACUGGAGAGGCAAGAUGAGUAGGUAAACCUGUGGGACAAUUUCCUGAAUAGUGAUUGAUAUGGAGUUCCAAGCCACUAUGUGUGGAUGCCACCCUUGGGCGAGAGAUUCUGGGGUGUACAGGAAAGAAAAUGGAACAAACCAGAAGGAGCAAGUCAGUAAGCAGCACUCCUCCAUGGUCUCAGCUUCAGUUCCUUUCUUCAGCUUCCUGCCCUGCUUGAGUUCCUGUCUUGACUCAUCUCAUUAAGGUCUGGAAGGAAAAAUAAAC
rnacentral:lncRNA from 1 species